GCAGGAGACCCCUGAUGCUACUGGUGCCACGGUUUUUGGGAGCGCUUACCGUUGACCUGCAUUCUGUCCACCAUGAAGCAGAAGGUGCUGGACAUGAGAGAGGGUGAUGCAGCAUGUGUAAGUGGUAUCUCGGUUGCAGUACUUUUCAUCACUCAGAAAAAAAUUUCAGUGCCAGAAGCCUGAGAAAAUGAUGGGACUGAGAUAAGAACUGAAGAUAUGUGAAGAUUUCAGAGCUUACAAAGGAAAUGUGAUGAUUUUCUUGGCCCUGUCCUCUAAACUUUUUCCUAUUGGAAAAUUUUCACAGCCUCAACCAACUCCACAAGUGGGAGGUGUCCAGGCAUGUACAAAAAUCUUAACAUGUGAGCAACUCAUCAGAAUGUAGUGUCCACCUGAAUGCUGGGAACCAUACAGCUUGGCAAAGCAGAGCAGCACCAAAUGGGAGAAGCACACAUGAAGCAUUGUUAUUUGUGUACAUCUAACUGAAACUUUUAUUUUUAUUUAGUUUCGUAUCUAGGUCAAGUGCAAGAGAAGCAAGCCUGUCUUACCUGCAGUGUACUCCAUUAGUGUGAUCGCUGUGCCAGAAAUGACCAAUUUUUCUAUUAUAAUAUUACUCCUACAAGUUGGCUGCCAAAAAAAUGUUAAAGUUUUGCCAAAUUAUCUGCUCAUAUUUGUAUAAAAUAUAUGUUGCAUAUUAGAUUAAUAUCACUGUAUAGAGUGGAGACUGAAUGGUUUUUUGUAUGUGAUGCCAUAUGUAUUAAACAACCUUGAUCAGUAAGUUGUUGUCCUCUACAUUUAGUAAAGACAUGAAAAUA